UUGAACGCUGGCGGCAGGCCUCACCCCUGCCAGUCGAGCGGAUGAAGGGAGCUUGCUCCUGGAUUCAGCGGCGGACGGGUGAGUAAUGCCUAGGAAUCUGCCUGGUAGUGGGGGAUAACGUCCGGAAACGGGCGCUAAUACCGCAUACGUCCUGAGGGAGAAAGUGGGGGAUCUUCGGACCUCACGCUAUCAGAUGAGCCUAGGUCGGAUUAGCUAGUUGGUGGGGUAAAGGCCUACCAAGGCGACGAUCCGUAACUGGUCUGAGAGGAUGAUCAGUCACACUGGAACUGAGACACGGUCCAGACUCCCACGGGAGGCAGCAGUGGGGAAUAUUGGACAAUGGGCGAAAGCCUGAUCCAGCCAUGCCGCGUGUGUGAAGAAGGUCUUCGGAUUGUAAAGCACUUUAAGUUGGGAGGAAGGGCAGUAAGUUAAUACCUUGCUGUUUUGACGUUACCAACAGAAUAAGCACCGGCUAACUUCGUG
rnacentral:rRNA from 1 species